GAUGAAGAACGUAGCGAAAUGCGAUAAGUAAUGCGAAUCGCAGAAUUUCCGUGAGUCAUCGAAUCUUUGAACGUACAUUGCGCCCACUGGUAUUCCGGUGGGCAUGCCUGUUCGAGCGUCAUUAUCCUCCCUCAAACCCCGGGUUUGGUGUUGGACCGAAGUUGUGUGAACAACUGGUCUAAAAGACAAUGACGGCGUCCGUGGGACCCUCGGUGCAACGAGCUUUUAGGAGCACGCGCCGAGUUGCAAGGACCUUCCGGGCCGGUCUCCUUUUACUAUUUUACAAGGUUGACCUCGGAUCAGGUAGGAAUACCCGCUGAACUUAAGCAUAUCAAUAAGCGGAGGA
rnacentral:misc_RNA from 1 species